CUUCAAGCUGCGGAGACUUUGGAUCAACUCACAGAUUUGGGACAAAAUGUGACUAUAAACUGUGAUCUGGAUGAAGAAGAGAUUUAUUGGUUGUUACUGAAAACACCAGAUCCUCCUGUGACGAUAUUACGCACUUUAUCAUCAAAACCUUUAUUCUUCAACAAAACAUUCAGACACAAAUAUUCACUUCAAUCUAAAAAUCAUCUGUUUAUAAAUAACAUCACUAUUGAUGAAUUAGGAGUUUAUUACUGUAUGAAGAUAGAAACAACACCACCUCCAAAAUUCAGCAGUGGCACCAGACUACAUGUAAAGGAGCCAACAGAAAGACCAAACCAAGUAACUUACAUACAGCUGAAUCAUACAGAAGUGAAAAACAUUCAACAGACUGAGACAUCAUGUCAGACUCUCACCAUCAUACUUGGUCUGCUGAAUGGUGUUUUUUUCAUUGUGAUCAUAGGACUAUUAAAGGUUUUCAUUGUUGGAAGUAAAAGAUUUGAAGAUUGUUCACAACAACUUCAUGAUACUGAACUACAACAGGUGACCUACAGAUGUUUAUCAGCGAGUCACAAACCAGUUAAAUGUAA